rnacentral:rRNA from 1 species
CCUACGGGUGGCUGCAGUGGGGGAUAUUGGACAAUGGGCGCAAGCCUGACCCAGCGACGCCGCGUGAAGGAAGAAGGCUUUCGGGAUGUAAACUUCUUUUCUGAGGGACGAAGAAAGUGACGGUACCUCCGGAAUAAGCCACGGCUAACUACGUGCAAGCAGCCGCGGUAAUACGUAGGUGGCAAGCGUUAUCCGGAUUUAUUGGGUGUAAAGGGCGUGUAGGCGGGAAAGCAAGUCAGAUGUGAAAACUCAGGGCUCAACCCUGAGCCUGCAGUUGAAACUGUUUUGCUUGAGUGCUGGAGAGGCAAUCGGAAUGCCGGGUGUAGCGGUGAAAUGCGUAGAUAUACGGAGGAACACCAGUGGCGAAGGCGGAUUGCUGGACAGUAACUGACGCUGAGGCGCGAAAGCGUGGGGAGCAAACAGGAUUAGAUACCCUAGUAGUC